GUAGGAGGCCGAAGAGAUCUUUUGCGGGACUGUCUCGAACCGCUGCGGCAAAACAGGGCGCAUUCUCGUCAUUUAUUCCACGCUUAGUGACCAGAAUAUCCCUUGUUUCGAUCUCAUAAUUUUUUUUACGAGUGAGAUUCUCUUCACGGGAGUACGAGGCAGCUGUCUGCAGGUCGGAAUCCUGUCGGGGGCUUUCCUCCUUGGGCUACGGUAUUGGACGCAGACAUUCGAACUCUCCAGGCGAAUCAAAGAAUUGAGGCACUGCUGUUUAAUCCACACCUCAGACAAUUGCUUCUCACUGUAGACCAAGCUGAGGAUAAAGCGGCCAUCGUGAAAGUUGCCAUGCAGGAACCCUUGUUCGUGGAAUUUGCUGACCAGUGCCUGAAAAUUGUAUAAAUGCCGUCCAAAUCCAUGCAUCAUAGCCACACUGUAAAGUGUUGUAAACAUUAUUUCAUGAUUUAAUAAAAUUCUGUGAAUUUUGAAA